rnacentral:sRNA from 1 species
UCCUCCACCUGCUGCGGACAGAUGAAGUGGAUGUGCGAGUCGAUACCGCCAGCGGUGACGAUCUUGCCUUCGGCGGCGAUCACUUCGGUGCCCGCGCCGACAGGCAGGGUCACCCCGGGCUGCACAUCGGGAUUACCGGCUUUGCCGACGCCAUGGAUGCGCCCGUUCUUGAUGCCGAUGUCCGCCUUGACGAUGCCCCAGUGGUCGAUGAUCAGCGCGUUGGUCAGCACCAGGUCCAUGGCCUCGGCGGCGUGCAUCUGGCCCUGGCCCAUGCCGUCGCGGA